rnacentral:rRNA from 1 species
CCAAUAGCGUAUAUUAAAGUUGUUGCAGUUAAAAAGCUCGUAGUUGAAUUUCGGGGUUAAUAAGUUGGUCGUGCCAAUGGUAUGCACUGGCUUUAUUGAUUCCUACCUCUUGACGAACUGUGAUGCCAUUAAUUUGGUGUUGCAAGGAAUCAGGACUGUUACCUUGAAAAAAUUAGAGUGUUUAAAGCAGGCUUACGCUUGAAUACAUUAGCAUGGAAUA